GUGGAGUGGAGACGACCUACUCAGCUGAGCCGGACAGAUCCCAAGUUCCUCCAGCCCUUAGGAAUACUUCACACAGCAGCAUGGUGACUGUCUAUAUUUUGCAGAGCAUUCUGCAGAGGGAUAGGCUCUCUGGCCUUUUUUGCUACCAUUUUACACAGCCUCCCGCUGCGAAUGGGACUGCUUUGUCUCAACUGACAGAACCAGCAAGCCAGAAAGUUUGCCACUUCUGAAUGAUUGCUUAUUGCCUCUUCCGUGGUUCUCAGCAUCAGGAAAUGGUUGCAAAGCAUCUCAGCUGCUACAGAUUGUUUAAAAGCUCAUAUUUAAUGCUCCCCCAACUACUCUUUCCCUCAAGACAAAGAAUGUCUUGGAUCACCUUUUCAAAAAGCAAAUGUAACCACAAAAAUCUCCAGGAAAACCUGAGUAUUUCCUCAGCUCUUAGAUGCUUUACAUCUGUAGUUUUAAAAACUCAAACUCUCAAUUGAUUUCAGCGGAGAACCAAAAGGAAGCCUAAUAUUUCAAAACUGGGUCUCUUCUUGUGCAAUGUAAAUCGAGACCAGCCGCUUGAGACCAGGGCAGAAGAAGCAGAGUGAAAACAAUGACCAGAAUGAGAAAGUGAAUCACACUCUGAAAUGAUGUGCAUUGUUAUGAUGGGAGAAGGGGACCUUCCUACAUCCAACAAUUGGAAAAUAUUGCUUCAAUCUACCUCCAAGGGAAUUCCAGCCCCUUCCGUUCAGGCCAUCCGUUUGUUCAAGUUGGGAACAAAAGGAAAGUUGCCCCAGCAGAUAUUGGGGCUACUCACGAUUUUGAGAAGCUACGUAUGUAUGCAAUUACUGCUGCUGGGAAGAAACUGCAUUUCUGCAUCCCCUUGACAUCUGCCUCAUUUCAAUAAUUUUCAGUCACUGAACCUCUGUCUGAAUGAUCAUUAGGAAACAGAGCCUUGUUGGUUACUAAUUUGAAUCUCCGUCUCUCUCCCCAAAGACCCCCACUUGAAUUCCAUGCUUGUGUAAGGACUCAGUGGAUGAGUUUGAUGUCUGAAGUUUUUGUAUCCUUAUCCUCUGCUCAGAGACAUUCUCUUCAUAGCCAUUGGCAUCUAGUUAAGAACGGGAAGCGCUGGCAUAAUUAACGUUUACUUCUGUCGAAGAUAUGUUCAUUUGCCUAUUUAUUAAUCACUGAACUAAAAUUAAAAGCCUCAAUAAGCAGAGUCUUCUGAAGUUUCUUGCAGGUUGCUACGUCUGCAAUACAGUAUGCCGCACUUCUCUACAUCACUGAAGAAAGAAAUGUUUCAGGUCUUCUCAAUGUGAUCUCUUUGCCUGGCUUGCUGGGCAUUCUUACGGCAUGGCAUCACGUGGCCGGAGGACCACAUCAAUGAAAAACAAAAACUUCAGAACAGAGUUUUCCAAUCACAACGAAAAACCUCUGAGCAAUUUUUAGAAAUAGUCUUGGGGGCCAACAGUAGCAUCCCACCACGUUCUCUGUUACAAAGAAUCAAAAUUGGAAUAUCACAUUUCACUCAAGUGAGAGAAGGAAUCUGGAGUUCCAACCUCCGUUGAGGAUCAAGAAUCAGGGACUCUGUCUUAUUUGCCAAGACAUCAAAAAUCAGAUGGGCCAGACACGUAAUGCAAUUCAGAGACGACUGCUGGACUAGAGCUGUAACCUACUGGAUUCUAUGGGACAUCAAAAGACCACGUGGCCACUCACCUACUAGAUGGACAGACUUCAUCGUCAAAACCCUGAAUGAACAGUUUGAGGAUCUUCCUGUUCCUGGAGAGAGCAGAUACCAUUGGGCUACACUAGCACAUGACAGGGACAACUGGAGACAUUACUGGUGCCCGCUCAAGCAAAUCAAAGAUCUAUGGGAUGACAAGUGAUACAAGUGAUGUGGAAGCUAAUCCCCCAUAACCCCCUGAGCCAGGUUUGUUCUCCACUGUUUCCACUGCUCACUCUGUAUUUUAUCCAACACUGCGCUUUGUAGGGUUUUUUUUGUUUGGGGAAAGUGGGACCACACCUCAGGAUGACUCCCUUCUCUGCACUCUGGGGUCACUCCUGGUCAUGUUGGGGGAACCAACAUGCAGGACAUUGAGCCAGGUAUACUGCACACAAGGCAAGUGCCUAAAAUGUGAUAUUGUCACUCUGGCUCUCAAUGUUUCUUAAUUAUAUUUUUGAUGCUGUCAUAGUUUUAAAUUUUAUUUUUCCAAUAGAGAACAUAACAAAAGAGAAAACAUAUAUUUUUCCCACUAUUUUGUGAGAAAACAUUAUUAUUGUUGAUGUUGCUUCUGUUGUUAAUACUAUUCCAUAACAUAAUUUAGGAUAGUAUCACUAUUCUUUAGGUUUAGACUGUUACCAUUGCACCAACAUGCCACCAAAAUGCCACUAAAGUGCCUAUAUCCCCAAGACUAGCCUGAAGGUGUCUUCUCAUCUGCCCCCUCGCUUUUCAACUUCCCAGUCCCCCACUGAAUAACACAGUUCUGUUAUCAUAGCUUUGCUUUCAUUGGCUAAUUUCUUGUUUCAGUUCCUUUUCUACCACUCUGAGUAAGAUCACCCUGUAUUUUUCUUUUACCUGACUUGUUUCAAAAGAGUACAUUGUGGAAUGAGUGGAAAGGCGAGGCCAUUUCUGGCAUCAGAGUUCACUCCUGGAUCAAAACUGGAUCAGUCUCUGUAAGACAAGCAUUUUAUUUUUUGUUUAUUUGUGGAGCUACAACUGGCAGUGUGUAGGAUUUAUUCCUGCCUCUGCACUCAGUGAUUAUUCCUGGUGAUACUCAGAGGAAUAUAGAACUUGCUGGGAAUCGAACCCAGAUUGGCAGCAUCCAUGGCAAGUGCCAUACAUAUGUAAUAUCUUUAUAACCCGAGACAAAUACCUUCACCCUUGUAUUAUCUCUCUGGACUCAGAAAAGUGUAUUUUCACAUCAAAAUAUUCUAAAGGACAGAUUCUCAAAUGAAAAGAUAGCUUUAACGUUUAAUAUAUUUCCAUCAACUAAAUUUACAGGAAACUCACUUCUCUUAUUUAUAAAUAAGUGAAACAUUAAUCACAGGUUGGAAAUAAAGAAACACUGGAGGUAAGUGAAAGUUCUCUGUAAAGUUGUAAUGUGACUUUUGUGACACAAGAACUGGCUUCAUAUGGGUGUGAAACCUGGUGAUUACACACAGAACCCACACAUAAACGGGUACUGUGCUAGGUUUAAUGCUCCACUGUCACCAUUUAAAAAAAAAUAUUUCUGAAUCACCAUGAAGUACAGUUACAGACUUACAAACUUUUGUGCUUGCAUUUCAGUUAUACAGUGCUCAAGUGCCCAUCCCUCACCAAUGCCCAUUUUCCACCACCAAUGGUCCCAGCAUCCCUCCCACCCAUCCCCUUUCUCCCCCCACCCCAUCCUGCCUCUGUGGCAGGGCAUUCCCUUUUGUUCUCUCUCUCCUUUUGGGUGUUGUGGUUUGCAGUAGAGGUAUUAAGUGGCCAUCAUGUUAGGUCUAUAGUCUACUUUCAAGAUGAAGUCAUGAAAUUUGCAUAUAGGUGGAUCAACGUGGAAAGUAUCAUGUUAAGUGAAAUGAGUCAGAAAGAGAGCAAUAGACAUAGAAAGAUUACACUCAUUUGUGGAAUAUAAAGUAACAGAAUGGGAGAUUAACACUCAAGAACAGUAGAGAUAAGUACAGAAAAUCUGGAUUCGCUCAGAUCCUGUGACAAAGGUACUGAGAUCUCCUUUUAUUACGACUCUACUGUACACACCUCUAAAAGAAACAAAGAAGUUGCAGGAAGAACAUUGAGGCAUUGAGGCAUACAUUGUCUCCUUAAGUCCGCCAGAUAGUCAGUUUCAACCUCCCAGAAAGAAUUGCACAGACAAGAGCCUUCAGAGGCCACAAGCACCUGGGGUCUACAUAUCAAAGACAACUGGGUCUGGGCUCCGUGAGAAGAGGAAGGCUGACUCUUCCGGUACACAGAAAUUAUGUUAUUUACUGAAGGCAGUUUAAAGAUAGAGAUGUUCAGCCUCAUCGAAACCAAUGCAGACACAGGAGUAAUAAUCUCGCCCAUUUUCACGGGUUUCUGUGUUCCUGCCCGUUUGCUGGUCAGUCUAGAAAGGCUCAUACUGAUGGUCUAGCCCAGACCAACAAAUUUUUAAGUAAAGAUUACAAACAUUUGUCACUAAACUAGAAUAUGUUCAAUCAGCAACUCUGCUAACUCUUCAAUAUGGCUUGCUUUGGGUGCUAGAGUUUUAGUUGAAAACUAAAACGAGUUUUAGUUUUAGUGUGAAAAGUCCCCACCUCUGGCUGAUGAUAGAUAUCAUAGCUCAUAUUUUUACAUGUAAUAUAGUUUGGUAUUCUACAAAAAUACACACUCAAUCUCAUGCAGUCAGGUUAUAUAUUGUAUUUUCCACAACAUUGACCUCAUUAAAAUAAUUUGAAUAUUAGCUUCUUAUUUGCAUAGGUUUUAAAAUAAAUAAGGAUUUUUUUAAAUUUAGGAUUAUAGGCUUUGUAUUAUAGGUACCCCUGGGAAUAUAAACUAUAUAUAAACAUUAUCUAAAAAAUUUCUAUAAAUUUUUCACAUGAGCAUACACAUGCAUACACACACACCCACACACACUUUGAACACACAAUUUAGCAGCUUAAAGAUACUCUGAGGACUAACACAGAUUAAGAAUUCGUACCUUAGGUCCAGAGACUAGCUCAGUAGGCUAAGUGCCUAUAACUCUAUUUGUGUGCAGGAGAUCAGGGUUCAGUUCUUGGCAAUGUGUGGUCCUCUGAGCACCACCCUAGCACAGAGCCAAUAAUAGUUGAGCACACCAUCCAUUAGAAAGUUUUGCGUUCUUUCUGUGAUCUGAUCUGUUUGGAUGGUUCUGGUUACUUUCAGGAUAUAAGUUUUGCUUCGAAAACUGUGAUUGAUGUGGCUGCUCCUCCAUGCACACAUCAUUAGUUUGCAGAGGGUAAGCUCAGAUGGUCAGAGCUUCGUGCUAAUGAGGCGAAGGUUAGGGGUUCAGUGCCCAUGUGGGCCACUUAGCUUUUGUCUCAUUCAUGUCCCCAGACUACUUCCAACACAGACCACCUGUCUUGAAAAUGUAUGUCUAUAGUCAGAAGGAGGAAACAUGUAAAGGGGUUUGGAUAGAUUGUUGCAAAUCUAUAUCAUGACUGAAAAAUAAACCAUUCUGUGGGUUCCUAGUGGUUGACAAGGAAACUCACCCUUCUUUAAAGCGGACACCAAGAAAACUCACCUUUAUUUAAAGAAGACUCAGAGGUGGCUAGUCUAUAGGUACUAUUAAUGACUUGUUGUCACUAAAAUUUGCAUCCCAGGAAAAUAUGUGGCCACAUGAAUAUGUUAGCCAAAACAGUGGUGAGGUGUCUGUCACUUAAGUGAGUGCCUUUCUUUCUAAGUAAAUGUAAAGAAUUACUUACAUUUAGAAGUUCGAGCAUUCAAUUUGUAGAAAAUUCCUUUCAUAAAGAGCAACUACAAGUGUCCCAAACUAUAAAAUGAAAAAAUCAUUGGUUGAAAUAGUUGAAGUUAAUAACAUUUUUCAUCCUCAUGCAUGUUUAUUCUUACUCUGAGCAAAAAAACACUAUGAAACCAACACCAACAGAGAUUAAGCAGUGGUCCCCUAGACUCACAAUCUUUUCUUCUUCUGGUCUCACAUGAAGUCUGUUGUAACUCCUCCAUGGCUUCCACAUGAGUACUGAUCCUUGCUCCUAACACUUCGGCUCAAGCUCUGACUAUUUUAUGAGAUCAACAAGAGAGCACAGCUAGCUAGUCUUUCAUCCUUCCCAACAAUGAGGAUGAGAGAUGAGGGUAAGGCCUGGAGUUUAACUCCCUGUUCAAAACCCAAACGCAUAAUUAUUAGUUCUGUGAGUUAAAAUUAUGUGAAUUUUGGCCUUGCCUCAGUUUUGGACAUUUUGGGUAUUUGUCUCAUUUUUUUGUUUUGCUUAGCUCAAUAACUGCCUCAUGGGAUUGUUGUAAUGUUGUGAAUAGGUAAAUGUAUAAAGUUCUUUAUAAUUUCUCAAAUAAAAUUGUAAUUUUUAAAUGUAAACCGCACUUUGUAAAAGUACUACUGCUAUUAUAACUACUACU